rnacentral:rRNA from 1 species
GGGAAUUCGAUUAGAGUUUGAUCAUGGCUCAGGAUGAACGCUGGCGGCGUGGAUAAGGCAUGCAAGUCGAGCGAGCCGUAGCAAUACGGCUAGCGGCAGACGAGUUAGUAAUACAUAGGAAUCUACCCUGAAGUCGCGAAUAAUUCGCCGAAAGGCGGACUAAUACGCGAUGGUCCCCGAGAGCAAUCGAGGGGUAAAGAUUUAUCGCUUCAGGAGGAGCCUAUGUCCUAUCAGCUAGUUGGCGAGGUAAAGGCUCACCAAGGCUAUGACGGGUAGGGGGUUCGAGAGAAUGGCCCCCAACGUUGGGACUGAGACACGGCCCAGACUCCUACGGGAGGCAGCAGCCGAGAAUAUUCGACAAUGGGCGAAAGCCUGAUCGAGCGACGCCGCGUGCAGGAAGA